rnacentral:rRNA from 1 species
UCGGGAAUCUUUCACAAUGGGGGAACCCGUGCUGGAGCGACGCCGCGUGGGGGAUGAAUGGCUUCGGUCCGUAAACCCCUGUCAUCUGUGAACAAUUCUUUUGGUUUAAUACACUGAAAGUUGAUAGUAGCAGAAGAGGAAGGGACGGCUAACUCUGUGCCAGCAGCCGCGGUAAUACAGAGGUCCCAAGCGUUGUUCGGAUUCACUGGGCGUAAAGGGUGCGUAGGUGGCUAGGUAAGUUUGGUGUGAAAUCUCCGAGCUCAACUCGGAAACUGCACUGAAAACUGCUUGGCUAGAGGAUUGGAGGGGGGACUGGAAUUCUCGGUGUAGCGGUGAAAUGCGUAGAUAUCGAGAGGAACACCAGUGGCGUAGGCGAGUCCCUGGACAACUCCUGACACUGAGGCACGAAAGCUAAGGUAGCAAACAGGAUUAGAUACCCUGGUAGUCCUAGCCGUAAACGGUGCACGUUUGCUGUGGGCGGAUUCGACCCCGUCCGUGGCGAAGCUAACGCGUUAAACGUGCCGCCUGGGGAGUACGGUCGCAAGAUUA